rnacentral:rRNA from 1 species
CCCUUAGAUGUUCUGGGCCGCACGCGCGUUACACUGAUGCAUUCAACGAGCUUAUAACCUUGGCCGAGAGGCCUGGGCAAUCUUGUUAACGUGCAUCGUGAUAGGGAUAGAUUAUUGAAAUUAUUAAUCUUGAACGAGGAAUUCCUAGUAAACGCAGAUCAUCAAUCUGCAUUGAUUACGCCCCUGCCCUUUGUACACACCGCCCGUCGCACCUACCGAUUGGAUGGUCCGGUGAAGCCUCGGGAUUGUGGUUCUUGCCGCUUUAUUGUGGCGUGACCGCGAGAACUUGUCUAAACCUUAUCAUCUAGAGGAAGGUGAAGUCGUAACA